CCCCCUUCCUCUCUGAAAUCAAUCAAAUGAUAUUGUUAAGACUUUGAUAGCAUUGCUUUCUUGGUCCUCCCCGCUUCAUUUCUCAGAGCAACUCCCGGACUGAGCCUUCCUUUACUUUCUGCCACUGGUCGUUCACGCUACAGACUGGGCACCUGCCAUGUGCCAGGCGCUGGACUUGGCACGGCCUGUGUUCUGGAUGCUUCUGCUGAAUGGUGUGGAGGGUCCUUGCAUGAUGUGGAGCAGACCUUUUGACCUGGGUUGGACUUGACACGUGAGCGAAAGGAAGAAAAUGUCAUAGUGUGUGCACAUAUAGAUGUAUGUGUGAAUACGUACAGUAUCAGCCCCCGCCACAGGGAGAGACAUGAAGCUGCAAUGUUCCCGGAGAGCAAAGGUGAGGCUGACAUUGCCAGCUGGUUACCCUGUCACCAUCCGCUUCCUCUCGUCCCUGGAUAACAGAACCCCAACUUUAUUUGGGGUGCGGAUGCGUCCGGCACGAAGACGGCUUCCCAGCCCACCUCGGAGGGCCAGGCUCCAGCCGAGGAGAUGUAAACACAGUGGUGUGUGGAAUGUCCCUGCAGGCCGCUUGACGCACGCUGACUCCACGGGAAGGUAUGUUCCUUUCGGCCUUCCUCCCCCUCCUCUGCAUGGCUGUCAGCCUGAGGGCUGGAGCGCCGGUGGCCAGGGUGGACCUUGAGGCGACCUUGAGGACAGGAGGCGCAGGCCAGUGCGACCGAGCAGGACGGAGGGACUGGGAGCCACAAUACCAGCCUGAGAGGCUUGGUUUCCAACUGCUUUUCUAUGAAAGAAAAACCCAGCGA